ACACGGGGGGCGCAAGCGUUAUUCGGAAUUAUUGGGCGUAAAGGGCGCGUAGGCGGUCUUGUCGGUCAGAUGUGAAAGCCCAGGGCUCAACCCUGGACGUGCAUUUGAAACAGCAAGACUUGAGUACGGGAGAGGAAUGCGGAAUUCCUGGUGUAGAGGUGAAAUUCGUAGAUAUCAGGAGGAACACCGAUGGCGAAGGCAGCUUUCUGGACCGAUACUGACGCUGAGGCGCGAAGGCGUGGGUAGCGAACAGGAUUAGAAACCCCAGUAGUCC
rnacentral:rRNA from 1 species